GUUCCUGAUGAUGUUUUGUCUCUUUUACCAUGCUAAUUCUGAUUGCUUGUGAUUAAUACUUUUAGUUUACUAUACUGAGGGAACG
rfam:Cajanus cajan CcLG02_1603, whole genome shotgun sequence.